rnacentral:tRNA from 1 species
ACUUUUUAGUAGUUUAAAAUAGAACACCCUGGUUUCAGCAGGGAAGAGGGUUUUCCCUA